AGGUGCGAUCAUACCAGCACUAAAUCAGAACUCCGCAGUUAAGCGUGCUUGGGCGAGAGUAGUACUAGGAUGGGUGACCUCCUAGGAAGUCCUCGUGUUGCACCUC
rnacentral:rRNA from 2 species